rnacentral:rRNA from 1 species
AUUGAACGCUGGCGGCAGGCCUAACACAUGCAAGUCGAACGAGUGGCGGACGGGUGAGUAAUGUCUGGGAAACUGCCCGAUGGAGGGGGAUACCUACUGGAAACGGUAGCUAAUACCGCGUACAAUCGGGUGUGCCCAGAUGGGAUUAGCUUGUAGGUGAGGUAACUGCUCACCUAGUCGACGAUCCCUAGCUGGGCUGAGAGGAUGACCAGCCACACUGCAACUGAGACACGGUCCCGACUCCUACGUGAGGCAGCAGUGGGGAAUAGUGCACAAUGUGCGCAAGCCUGAUGCAGCCAUGCCGCGGGUAUGAAGAAGGCCUUCGGGUUGUAAAGUACUUUCAGCGAGGAGGCGUUACCCGCAGAAGAAGCACCGGCUAACUCCGUGCCAGCAGCCGCGGUAAUUC